rnacentral:ncRNA from 1 species
CCUUGACAGUCACAUGGUGUGGCUGACAUUUGCCAAGACAAGGAGUUUCUUAUG